rnacentral:rRNA from 1 species
UGGGGAAUAUUGCACAAUGGGCGAAAGCCUGAUGCAGCAACGCCGCGUGAGUGAUGAAGGCCUUCGGGUUGUAAAGCUCUGUCUUUUGGGACGAUAAUGACGGUACCAAAGGAGGAAGCCACGGCUAACUACGUGCCAGCAGCCGCGGUAAUACGUAGGUGGCAAGCGUUGUCCGGAUUUACUGGGCGUAAAGGAUGCGUAGGCGGAUUUUUAAGUGAGAUGUGAAAUACCCGGGCUUAACUUGGGUGCUGCAUUUCAAACUGGGAAUCUAGAGUGCGGGAGAGGAGAAUGGAAUUCCUAGUGUAGCGGUGAAAUGCGUAGAGAUUAGGAAGAACACCAGUGGCGAAGGCGAUUCUCUGGACCGUAACUGACGCUGAGGCAUGAAAGCGUGGGUAGCAAACAGGAUUAGAUACCCUGGUAGUCCACGCCGUAAACGAUGAGUACUAGGUGUAGGAGGUAUCGACCCCUUCUGUGCCGCAGUUAACACAAUAAGUACUCCGCCUGGGAAGUACGAUCGCAAGAUUAAAACUCAAAGAAUUGACGGGGUC